UAAAAAAAAUGAUCAUUUGCCAAUUAUAGCUAUCCUAGAGAUCACAACCGGCGAAAAAUUCACCUCUUUCUCCCCUUCUUAUAUUUUUGUUAAACUUUCAUCUCUAACACAAGUAAAGUAUGUGAGAAAAGUAACUUUCUAUUUACACUAUAGAUUUUCAAGAAGUCAGAAUUUCUAGACAAGUCUUGAGGAGGUGCACAUCCAAUUAAAAAAUUGGAUGCUGCAUCCUGCUUUCCAUUUGCCUCUUGUCCAUCCAACUGAAAUUGUAUAAAUAGGGGGUAGCAUUUGCAAAGUAGAAAUCAAGUCCUUGCACAUUACAUCCAAUCAAUUGUUUGUAACUUGGACAUAUAUCCUUUAUCUUAUAUUGGCCUUUGUUUUUCAUCUUUCAAGAUGCAAAAGCAAGAUAACCAACCUCCUCUAGGCUAUCCUACUGAAGUUACUCCAAAUGAGGCCAAGAAGAAGAUGAAGGGCUGGCCAAGGAGUAAGCCAAGAGGAGAAAGGGGUUUCCUUGAAGGAUGCCUCUUUGCACUAUGCUGCUGCUGGCUAUGUGAAGCUUGCUUUGACUAAAUAUUUGGGAUAUGACUCAUCGAAAGGCAUAAACUGGUGUUUGUCUAUUCAACUAGUGAUGCAAUAUGUACUCCUAUGUGAUCCUUCACUUUAUCAUGUAACCAAAUAUGUUCUUAACAUCUGAGACUUUGUAUGAUGAUAUAAUAUUUUUUGUUGUUCAAUGAAGAAUAUGGUUAUCUUA